rnacentral:hammerhead_ribozyme from 1 species
ACCCAGCUGACGAGUCACAAAGAGAACGAAACGCGCGUCCUGGAU